AACGAACGCUGGCGGCAGGCCUCAAACAUGCAAGUCUAGGGGGUGUAGCAAUACAUCACCGGCGGACGGGUGCGUAACACGUGGGAAUAUACCUUUUGGUUCGGAACAACGCAGGGAAACUUGCGCUAAUACCGAAUGUGCCCUUACGGGGAAAGAUUUAUCGCCAAAGGAUUAGCCCGCGUAGGAUUAGCUAGUUGGUGAGGUAAUGGCUCACCAAGGCUCCGAUCCUUAGCUGUUCUGAGAGGAAGAUCAGCCACACUGGGACUGAGACACGGCCCAGACUCCUACGGGAGGCAGCAGUUGGGAAUCUUGGACAAAUGGGGGAAACCCGUGAUCCAGCCAUGCCGCGUGAGUGAUGAAGGCCU
rnacentral:rRNA from 1 species